UGAUAGAUGGCUGCUCAUUUUUCUG
rnacentral:piRNA from 1 species